rnacentral:lncRNA from 1 species
GCAAGUGAAAGGAAAGGGUGCAGCGUGUAUGUGGACAGGAAGUGGGGUUGUGUUCAAGAAAAAAAGAAAAAAGGGAAGAAGGUGGUCUGAACAGGAAGAGCACCAGAACGGAAAAAAGAAAAAGGGAUUUUAUUAACGUGAUAGAGAGAAGGAAGUGGACGAUUCAAAGAAAGAAAAAGUACAGUGGCAUCAUUCUGGAGAGAGAGAGAAUGGGCGUUUCAGGAGGAUUUUUUGAGAGGUUAGGCUACGAUUUUCAGAAGGAGAUCAAUCUAUGUUUCAGAGGCAUUUAGGGGGUUGCUGUUUGGAGGAGAUUAGUCCAUGUUUCAGAUGCAUUUUGGGGUUGCUCUUUGAAACAGAUCAGUCUAUGUUUUGAAAGAGAUUUUGGGGCUACUGUUUGAGCAAGAAUCAGUUCGUGAUUUGGGCAUUUAGGGGGCUGUUGUUUGAAGGAGAUAGUCCAUGUUUCAGAUUCAUUUUGGGGCUGCUAUUUGAAAGAGAUCAGUCCAUGUUUUGAAAGAGAUUUUGGGGCUGCUGCUUGAGCAAGAAUCAGUCCGUGUUUUUAAAGGGGCAUUUGAGGCUGCUGUUUGGAGGAAAUUAGUCCACAUUCAGAGGGGAUUUUGGGGCUGCUAUUUGAGUGAUCAGUCCACUUUUCAAAGAGCAUUUUUUUGGGGCUACUGUUUGAGUGAUCAGUCUGUGUUUUAAAGGGGUAUUUGAGGCUCCUGUUUGGAGGAAAUUAGUCCACGUUUCAGAUGGGAUUUUAGGGCUGCUAUUUGAGUGAUCAGUUUGUGUUUUGAAAGAGCAUUUUUGGGGUUGCUGUUUGAGUGAUCAGUCCUUGUUGUGAAGGGGUGAGGUUGUGAUUUUCAGAGAGAGGAUCAAUCCAUUUUUCAGAGGAGAAGAGCGGGCUACUGUUUUCAAAGAGAACCAGUCCGUGUUUAAGAGUGAUUUGGGGCUGUUGUUUUCGAAGAGGAUCAAUCUGUGUUUCAGAAGAGAGAGGUGGGCCACACUAGAAAAGUUUCGGAAAGCAUUACUGCAUCAGGGAGCCGCACCAACAAAGGAGCCAAACAACAACGUUUUCUCUUCCUCUACCAAAG